GUAGGUGGCAAGCGUUGUCCGGAAUUAUUGGGCGUAAAGCGCGCGCAGGCGGUUCUUUAAGUCUGAUGUGAAAGCCCACGGGCUCAACCGUGGAGAGUCAUUGGAAACUGGAGAACUUGAGUACAGAAGAGGAAAGCGGAAUUCCACGUGUAGCGGUGAAAUGCGUAGAGAUGUGGAGGAACACCAGUGGCGAAGGCGGCUUUCUGGUCUGUAACUGACGCUGAGGCGCGAAAGCGUGGGGAGCAAACAGGAUUAGAUACCCUGGUAGUCCACGCCGUAAACGAUGAGUGCUAAGUGUUAGGGGGUUUCCGCCCCUUAGUGCUGCAGCUAACGCAUUAAGCACUCCGCCUGGGGAGUACGGCCGCAAAGGCUG
rnacentral:rRNA from 1 species